UGUGUAGGCGGUUCUUUAAGUUUUGUUGUGAAAUCUCCCGGCUUAACCGGGAGGGUGCGGCGAAUACUGAGGGACUAGAGUACGGGAGAGGAAAGUGGAAUUCCUGGUGUAGCGGUGAAAUGCGUAGAUAUCAGGAGGAACACCGGUGGUGUAGACGGCUUUCUGGACCGUAACUGACGCUGAGACACGAAAGCGUGGGUAGCAAACAGGAUUAGAUACCCUGGUAGUCCACGCCCUAAACGAUGCAUAUUCGGUGUGGGCAGUUCAUUCUGUCCGUGCCGGUAGCUAACGCGUUAAAUAUGCCGCCUGGGGAGUACAGUCGCAAGGCUGAA
rnacentral:rRNA from 1 species